GAAGGAAGAUGGCAGGAGCCGCAGGGGAAUCUCUGAGACCUGGUUUGGCCUCUGCUGAGCCUCAGAACCUCUGCUGGUUCAGCAAAGGGGAGAGGGAGGGGGAGCGGGGGGUCCUUUCCAGGCUGGGAGGCUGUGUUUACUAAACUAGCCUUUCCUCUUGAUUUCAGUUCUCACUCGGGAGAAACAUAAUGGCCCCAGGCCUCAGGAGUGUCUGAGCAGGUCUGAACAGGAGGCUCUGGUUUGUGGUUGGAGAGGCGGUGCCCUGGCUGCCGGGCUGAUGGAGAGAGGACAGGACAGGAGAGGAGAGGGGGCCCAGCAUCCUAGGGCAGAGGGGGCCCUAGGCCUCAGCCUCAGGCUGGACCGCUGCCUGCUCCCUGGCUUGCUUCUAGCUCCCAAGGAGCCCUGGAUAUCUUUCCAACUGUGUCAAGGAGGGAGUUUAUAGCCCAUGGUCAGCAUGGCUGACCGCCAACCUGGCAGGUGGCCAGAACCCAGAGCACAUUGAAAAGGAGUAUAAACAAGGCCCCUGGUGGGCAGCUGUGACCCAGAAUCUUCCAGUAGAAGAGAAGCAAUCAGGGAAGAGGAACACUAGAGGGACCCUGCCCCCUGCCUCUCAGGCUCCCAGGACUCGGCCAGCAGCACGGACAGAAUGGGCACCAGGCAAGCAGCCAUCAUAAAAGAGCUGCAGGAGUUCACUUAAGGGGCCUUUCAGCCUCUGAGAUGCUGUGAGCCCAUGACUGUGAUUCAGCUUUUCUCUCUGUAUAGAGGGCAUCUGUGGUUGCCCCUCGCCUGGAAUCCAUUGUGCUCCUUUUGUUGGCAGCACCCUAGUUAUCUUUCUAGAAGCCACCCCUCCUCCACUCACAGCCCAUGUGGAUCAGGUGAGGCUAACCUGGUCUUCCUUCCUUCCUGGAUCCAGGAUGGGCAAAUGGGUCAGGCCUGGCCUGACUGAUCAGCCCAUUUCUUCUUCUGCUGGAGACCAGCAGAAGCCUCUGAUGGCUUCUGGUCUCAUUCCAUGAGACCACCCCAAGGAAUUUUGCUGGAACUUUUGGGAAAAGAGACAUUGUCAGCAAUCAGCUUCCUGAACAGCUGGAGGUGCUUGGAGACCAUCUGGCCAUGACACAGGGGCAGCUUGCUUGAGGAAGACACCAUCACAGAAGGAGACCCCAUGGAAAGAGAGGCAGAGAACCAGACAGAGGCCACAGAGAAGCCGGCAAUGACCCAGGCCUCUGAAAUCCUGCCCUGGUUGCCUGAAACUAGAGGAGUUUUCCCAAGAAGGCUCAAGGAUCCUGGCUGCAUUCCUACCCUGCCUGAACACCCAGCAUAUAUCCUAGACAGCCCUAGUCAGUGCCUAGACCUGCGAAAGAGAAUGUCAUAGGUCCCCGCAGUGCCUUUAUUCAUUCGUUAAUUCAGCACACAUUUAUGGAGCACCAACUCUGUUCAGAAAUGAAGUUCUUAUCCUCAGAGAUCUAGAAUUUGGUGAGAAAAACAGAUCAAUCAGAAGAAUUUCAUCAGAAUGUGACGACUGCUACGCUAGAAAUAAACACAGAGAAGGGACCUCCAGACUGGGCAGAGUGACAGGCAUGUUGCAGAAGCUUCCUAAAGGAAGUGACCCCUGAGAUGAAUUCCACAGGAUGAGAACGAGUCAGCCCAGCUGGAUAGAGGGUAGAGGAUGUGCUUUCCAGGCAGAAAGGAACAGGAGAUACAGAUUCCAGGGGGUGGGCGGGGCUUCGGCCUGCCAGUAGGACAGACCAGGAGAGACGGGGAGCAGGAGGAGGUGCAAGGGAUUGCCAUCAGGGAGCAGGACCUGUUUGACAAGCUGGUUUGGAUGAGCACUGCUUCCUGUGUGUGUGAUCACACAGAUAGUUCAGCACCAAACAUGAGGCCAAGGCAAAGCCUGACUCAUGCCUCAGAGGAAAAACAAAGCAGAGGAUCCUCAGCCAGGGCCCUGGGUCAAGAGUGUGCAACAGAGCCCCACCGCACAAGUAUUGGUGAUCUCUGCCCACAGAGGGAGCUUGGCCCUCCUUAUUGGAAAUGACUGAAGGCAGGGCUCAGAAUCUCGUCUUCCAUCUCCUCUCCCACCCCUUUCUCCUUGAGCUCUGCAGGGCGUGUGAGAUGGGAGUGAUCAUAGGUAAAAGCAGGUACUUUGGGCCAGGCAACCCUGGGCUCCAGUCCUAUAUAAUAGCUGGGCCAUGAACCCUCAACCUCUUCCUCAACCUGUGUCUCCUCCUCUGCAAACUAAAGCUAACAAUAGUACUGAUUCAAUAAAGGAAAGCUUAUCUGGUGA